AGAGCAAGACUCUGUGUAAAAAAUAAUAAUAAUCAAAAAGAAUAAAAAUAAAAAUAAAUUAAAACACAUACACACACACACACACACACACACAAAGUAUACUUCUUUUAACAACUAUACAGGAAGCAACUGUAUCCAUGCAAGAGAAUAAAAGUAUAUAGAGCUUAUAUUCCAAAUAUUUUGUCUAUACCUAUGGAACAAGAUGUGGCCCAAACAGUUCUUAUGAACACAAUGGAGAAAUCUGUCUAAAUAAUCUAUGUCACCCAAGCUAUCUCUAGUACAGCACAACAUACCACAGUCCCCACUUCCACCCCGGCCCAGCAGUAACAUGGAGCUCCUCCCCAAGUGAGUGUCAACAAAGGCCAAAAGGAGAACCUCAACUUUGACCCCCACACUGGCAAUAAUGAAGUGGUAUCCCCAUUCCCCUGCUGGAGUAGUGUCAGAAAAGACUUGCUAAAACACAAAAUUAAAAUAAGAACCUCAUAACAUAAUACCCAAAGUAUCUAGGUUUCCACUUUAAAACUCUCACUGUGGCAAAAACCAGUAACAUCUCAACUGAAAAGAGAAAAGACAAUGAACAGACAAUGCCACCGAGAUAACACAGACAUUAUAAUGAUCAAACAAGGAUUUUAGGAGCCAUCACAAAAUGCCUCAAUGAGCAAUCUCAAAUACUCUUGACUCUUGAAACAAAUGGAAAAUAAAAGGAAGUCUCAGCAAGCAAAUACAAAGCCACAGCAAAGAAACAAGAUAUAAAGACAAAACCAUAUGGAAAUUCUAGAAUUAAACAUCAUAAUAACUGAAAUAAAAAUCUUAAGAGAUGGCCUCAACAGAAGAAAAGGACAGAGGAAAGAAACACUGAACUUGAAGACAGAAUAACAGACAUUACCCAGUCCAAACAAAAGAGAGAAAAUAGACUGGAAGAAGUAAAAAAAAAAAAAAAAAAAAAAAAAAAAACCGGGGCCCAGAGCCUCAGGGACAUCUGGGAUAUAUAAGAAAAGAUUUAGCAUUCGCGGAUUACAAUUCCCAGAAGGAAAAGAGAAAGAAGGCAGGACCAGAAGGUAUGCAAAGAAACAAUGGCUAAAACUGCCAAAUUUGGCAAGAAAAAAAAAAAGGGAAGAAAAAAAGAAAUAAACUAAUAGAUUCAAUACUGAACAAACCCCAAAUAAGUUAACCCGAAACAAAACAAAAAAAAUCCAUUCCAAAACACAUUAUACUCAAACUUCUAAAAACUAAAGACCAAAAAAAAAAAAAAAUUCAGCUUCCAAGGACAUUUCUCAUCAGAAAUCUUGACACACACACACCGAAAAAAAAGGUACCACAAUAUUUUUGUGCUGAAAGAACUGUCCAUCCAGAAUUCUAUGUUCAGCAAAAAUAUCCCCUGAGAAUAGAGCAAAUCAAGACUUUCCGUUGAAAUAAAACUAACACAAUUUGUCAACAGCACACUUACUUCAAAAGAAUGGCUUGGGAUGUUCAGGCAGUCCAUUAUUUUUGUUGUUGUUGUUUUUGUUUUUGUUUUUUUGGUUUGUUUUUGAGAUGGAGUAUCUCUCUGUCACCCAGGCUGGAGUGCAGUGGCGCGAUCUCAGCUCACUGCAACCUCCACCUCCUGGGUUCAGGCGAUUCUCCUGCCUCAGCCUCCCGAAAUAGCUGGGACUACAGGUGCACGCCACCACACCCAGCUAAUUUUUGUAUUUUUAGUAGAGACAGGGUUUCACCAUGUUGGCCAGGAUGGUCUCAAUCUCUUGACCUCAUGACCCGCCUGCCUCUGCCUCCCAAAGUGCUGGGAUUACAGGCAUAAGCCACCGUGCCCUGCCUAUGUUUCUUUAAUUAAGAAAAAAUAAAUAAAUAUUAAAAAGAAUGGCUAAAGGAAGUUCUCUAAAGAGAAAAGAAAUGACAAAAGAAGGAAUUUGGGUACAUCAAGAAAAAAGAAAGAACAAUGGAAAGAUCAAAAAUAUGGAUCAUAAUUAUUUUCCUUUUCCUCUUGCGUUUUCUAAAUUAUGUCUGGCAGUUGAAGCAAAAAUUAUAACUGAUGUGAAUCUCAUGAGAUUCAAUGUAUAUCAAGGAAAGAUUUAAGACAAUUAUAUUAGAAAUGGGGGGCCAGGCACAGUGGCUCACACCUGUAAUCCCAGCACUUUGGAAGGCCGAGGCAGGUGGAUCACUUGAGGAGUUUGAGACCAGCUUGGCCAACAUGGUGAAAACCCAUCUCUACUAAAAAUACAAAAAUUAGCCAGGCAUGGUGGUGGGCACCUGUUAUCCCAGCUAUUCAAGAGGCUGAGGCAGGAGAAUCGCUUGAACCCAGAAGGCAGAGGUCACAGUAAGCUGAGAUCACACCACUGCACUCCAGCCUGGGCAACAAAGCGAGAUUCUGUCUCAAAAAAAGGCACAUACUUAUGAGUAGUAGCAUUACUGCUGAGUAGUAUUUAGUGUAUGAUGUACCACCGUCAGUUUAAAUAUUAAUCUAUUGAAGAACAUAUAUUAUGCAGAUGAUAAAAUUAUAGAGAUGAAAACAGAGUAGUGGUUAAGAACAGUGGAGGGAGAGGAGUAAGUGUAAUUAUAUAGGAAUAGCACCAGAGAGAUCUUGGUAGUGAGAAAAUAAUUCUGUAACUUUAUUACAGUGGUAGUUCAAGGAAUCUACAGGUAGAAUUACAAUGACAUAGAACUAUACACACACAUUGUACCAACAUCCGUUUCCUGGGGCUGGUCUGUUUUUGUUUUUAUUUUUUAGAGACAGGGUCUCACUUCUGGUUAUAAUAUUGCACUACAAUUUGUAAGAUGUAACCUUUGGGGGCAAAAUAGGAAAAGUGUACACAGGAUCUCUCUAAACUAUCUUUGCAACUUCCUAUUAAUCUAUAAUUAUUUCAAAAUAAAAUAUUUUAAAUACAGAGUUUAUAAAUGACUUAAACUAGAAAAUAAAACACUUCAGCUAUAAUGAUGAAUCAAAACUAACAAGAUUAAACUUAAUAAUAAAGAACAAUGGGCCGGCACAGCGGCUCACGCCUGUAAUCACUUUGACAGACUGAGGCAGGUGGAUAGCUUGAGGCCAGGAGUUCAAGACCAGACUGGGCAACACAGUGAAACCCUGUCUCUAUUAAAAUUACAAAAAUCAGCCAGGCAUGGUGGCACACGUCGGUAAUCCCAGCUACUUGGGAGGCUAAGGCAGAAUUGCUUGAACCCAGGAGGUGAAGGUUGCAGUGAGCCAAGAUCGUGCCACUGUACUCCAGCCUGGGCGACAGAGCAAGACUCUGUCUCAAAAAAAAAAAAAAAAAUCCCAGAUUAUUAGACUCCGCCAAGCCCAGCAGAAUACACAUGUCCCCCCAAUGCACCUGAAACAUUCUCUAAAAUAGACUGUAUGUGAGGUCACAAAACAAGUCUUCAUAAUUUUUAAAAGGUUGAAAUCAACUCACACAAAGUGUCUUUUCUGAUCACAACAGAAUGAAUUUAGAAAUCAAUAACAGAUGGAAAACUGGAAAAUACACAAGAAUAUUUGGAAAUUAAACACCCUGAUAAAUUACCAAAGUAUUAAGGAGGAAACCACAAGGGAAACACAAAAAUACUUUGAGCUGAGUAAAAACAAAAAUACCACACAACAUAGCAGAACUUAGGGAAUGCAAUAAAAAGAGUAAUUGGAAGGAAAAUUAUAGCCGUAAACAUUUAUAUUAAGAAAGAAGAAAGAUCUCGAAUCCCCAAACUACACUCUGCCUUACGAAACUAGCAAAAGAAGAGCAAGCUAAACCCAAAGCAAGCAGAGGGAAGGAAACAAUAAAUAAUAGAGCAGAACUAAAUAACAUAGAGAACAGAAAAACAGUGGAGAAUAUUACCGGAUUAGUCCGUUCUCAUGCUGCUAUGAAGAAAUACCUGAGACUGGUUAAUUUAUAAAGAAAACGGGUUUAACAGACUCACAGUUCCACAUGGCUGGGAGGGACUCAGGAAACUUACAGUUAUGGAGGAAGGCGCCCCUUCACAGAGCAGCAGGAGAGGGAAUGAGAGUCGAGCAAAGGGGAGAGCCCCUUAGAAAACCAUCAGAUCUCCUGAGAACUCAUUGUCACAAGAACAGCAUGGGGGAAACCAGCCCCAGGAUUCAAUUGUCUCCACCUGGUCCUGCCCUUGACCUGUGGGGAUUAUUACAAUUCAAAGUGAGAUCUGGGUGGGGAAACAGCCAAACCAUUUCAUUCACCAAAACCAAAAGUUGAUUCUUUGACAAGAUGGAAAUCAAACAGAGUUGAAAACCCUUUCGUUGGACUAGACUUCAUCAACUGUUCUGGGUGCAUUUUUAAUUUCACAAGAAUUUCCUUCAACUUUGCAUGAAACCAGAGUUCCUCAUGUGUACUGUUUCUAAUCAAGUGUAUUUUCAUGUUUAGAAAGCUAUUUUCUAAGGAGCAAUUUCCAUAGUUCUUAUAAAUCAUGAAACUUGUAUAGAUGACCAUUUUCUACUACUUUAAUCAACUCUUUAAUUUUUGGUUCAAGGGCACUAUCAUUAAGGAAGACCCCUUUGAAAAUGAACAUAGAUGGCCGGGCACGGUGGCUCAAGCCUGUAAUCCCAGCACUUUUGGAGGCUGAGGCGGGCGGAUCACGAGGUCAGGAGAUCAAGACCAUCCUGGCUAACAUGGUGAAACCCCGUCUCUACUAAAAAUACAAAAAAUUAGCUGGGCAUGGUGGCGGACACCUGUAUUCCCAGCUACUCAGGAGGCUGAGGCGGGAGAAUGGCGUGAACCCAUGAGGGGGAGCUUGCAGUGAGCUGAGAUCGCACCACUGCACUCCAGCCUGGGCGACAGAGCGAGACUCUGUCUCAGAAAAAAAAAAAAAAAAAAAGAGAGAGAGAAAAUGAUGCAGGAAGAAUGAUGAAUAUAGAAAUCAUAACACAGUCAAGUAUAGUGAGUGAUAAAAAUAAAAAAAAUUAUAAAGUGUAAAAAACACAUCACCUCCCACCUGGAGACCACAGGUAAUGUGUCAGUCAGAGUUCAAACUUGAGAGUGAAACUCUCAAUAUUUGGAAUAUUAUACAGUAACAACCUUUUACAGGAAUGGUGUGAGGUGCUAUGGAAGUAAAGGUCUGUCGAGUGGGGUGCAGCAUCACAUGGUGGCCCUGGACUCACUGCAAGUCAGCAGGGCUGGAAAUCGGGAAAUAAAGACAGGGGUAAGGAAGAGUGAAGACAAACUUGCACCCUGUGUCAGCUCCACUGUGUCUCUCACCACUUCUGACCAAUUGUAACUGGGCAGUUUAACUGCAAAAUGCAUUUUAAACUUUUUACUUAUUUCUCGUGCGUUUCAAGAUAUAACCUUGAAGCAAAUUGCAGAAGCCUUUCCCUCUUUGUCUUAAAAUGAACUCCACAUCCCUCCCUUUCUCACCAUCUAUACUCCCUUCACAUUCAUCUACCUGUAUGCUAGCAUCUAAUUAUGUCCCUUUUUAGAAGCUCUUGGGGGUAAUCUUGAGACAGAUGAACCAAGUCUGGAGACCCAUCUGCAAAGUUCCAGAGAUGACUUCAAAGUGGCGAGUCAACAGCCUCACCAUUGUUGAGAUGACACCAGCCCGAGAUCCAGGUAAACUGGGACCCAAGAUAGCCACCAGAACAAGGUACACAGACGUUGUACUCAGCACAAUUCUUGCAAGCUUUUCACAUCAAGUGUUCCUUUUUUAAACCCCUGUCUUCUUCUCUGCCAAAUUGAAGUGGUUGCUUUGGAUGGGAACCCGGCCACUUGUUCUUUAUUAGUUUUAGUGAAUAAAGUCACUUUCUUUCUACCAAAACUCAUUCUUGUUAACUGGAUUCUGCAGGCGGUGAGCAUCUGGACCUGUGUUCAGUUACACGAUGAAAACCUCCAGAGCAUAAUGGCCCCUCCUUCAUUCACCUCCCAGGUCUCAUGGCUUCACUGUGGCCAGCUCUAGCUCGGAACCAUAUGUAUAUAGGGAAAGAGAUUCUGAGAAACUCCCACAUCACAAGUUGAUUAUAGCCCAAUCCAUCACAGCUACAUUUCCUAAUAUUUCUGAGUUUGCAUCUCAUCUGGUAAAGAGUAUGGUGACAUGACUGCAUCAUAGCCUGGUUGUAUCACCUGAGAUGAUGUAAAACUGUAAAAUGCCAGGUGGUAUAUGUAUUAUUAUUCCAACCAGUCGGUCAGCUUUUAUUUUAGAGAAGCAGUAUCAGAGGUAAUAGGGAAGAAGAAACAGUGUAUGUAUCAAUGGAUGUGUUCUAAGAUAAGAUGACGACCUGACACAGACAGCCAGUUCUAGUUGGCAGGGGUAGGGGGUGGCAUGAAUACUUGCAGUUUGAUGUUGUGAGAUUUGUCUGGAAAGCACGGGUUGCCUGUGUGGAAGAGUUUUGCCUUCUUUCCACUUCUGCCAUAGCCCUUCAGAUGUGCUUCUCCUAUAUCCCAUACGUGACGUACACAUGUUUAGUUGGUUUGUAUGAGCAGUGGCAGCGGAGGCCAGGUCUUGGCUUCCUGGCUGCCACUGGCCCUGGUUACCAUGGACGUAAGUAUUUCCCUUUCAUUCAGGGCAGGGGUUCAUGGCCCCUCCUGCAAACAACACUGUGCGUCCACGUGACUAUUAAACUGUCAAAUUUACAAGAUCCACUCCAAAAUAAACCCUUAUGGUCUCCACAAGCCUAUUUCUCCUCACUAUUAUCUGGGAAGCACAGACUUUAGGAAGGGCUUCAUGUUUUAUAAAAAUGCCAGUGAUUAUCUGGAAAAAAUGACACCCAAUUUUCCACCACAUCCUAAGACCUACGGGUGUCUACCUAAAAGCUAAUAUGUUGUCAUGUUCCUGCCAUCUCAGAUAUGAAGCUGAAGAUAUUUCAUAUGUAUGUCCCAGAAAUGAAUGAAGAAGAAAUAUACAGUUGCUUGACUACAUGACAUGCAGCUCCCUGUUGCUUAUUCUGAAUGUGCCCUGCCUCUAGGAGGAGCUGUACAUCUGCGGUGCUGGUAACACUAGACCCACUAGCCUUAUCAUCAUGCACAGCUUUUGUGUCUUCUUCCUCUCUCAGCUUCCACACAACAGCCCUGAUGUUUACCAGCAGGCGUCUCUUGUUUAGUCUCAUUGUCUUUGGCAAGUUCAAUCUCAACCAGAUUGUUGUUCUUCUCAAGAGGACUGAUCCCAGCAGGCUCCAGCCCUAAAGCGGACUGUUCGGGAGAUCUGUGUUAACCUUGUGUUUCAGUCCUCAGUCUCAUGGUACUGGGUCCUACCGUGAGCAGAAAAUCCCUCUCUACAUCAGAACAGCCUUCUGGCCAUGCUACAGUCCUCGCUCAGAAACACGGCACACCAUAUAUAAAUAUGAUGGAUAAGCAGUGAGUGUGUAAAGACCUUGUGACUAUUGAAUGUUUUGUAAAAGGUACGUAUCCAAAAUAAUUAAAAUCAGGACCUCAAAGAACUAUCUGCACUUCCAUGUUCAUUGCAGCAUUAUUCAUAAUAGCCCAAAUGUGGAAACCAUCUAAAUGCUCAUUGACAGAUGAAUGGAUAAAGAAAAUGUGGCACAUAUAUACCAUCAAAUAUUAUUUAGCCUUAACACAGCAGAAAAUCCUGCCAUAUGCAAAAACAUGACUGAACCUACAGGAUGUUAUGAUGAGGAUACCAAGGCACCACAGAGCUAAGUGGUCGAGCCGGGAGUGGGCACCACCCAAUCCAGCUUGUGCUACUGAACACCUGCUCUCUGAUCACUGGAAUCCUGGCAGUUUGAUGGGAGAGACCUACUUCAAAAAAUGCACAGUGCCAUCAAUGAUGGAGCUGACAAUAAUCACAAAUAACAACAACUGAAUGUGUCUGUCCUUUCAAUCAAGCACAGCCCAUGGUACUUGUCAAAGCCCUUCUUUCUGUACCCAUUUGAAAGGAUGCAUUUUUAGGCUUGAGCUUGAAGUCCCCAUUCAGAAUGAACAGAACCUCCCUAUGUCCCACAGACAUAGCAGAUACAUUCAGGUCUUUCUCUUUGGUUUGUCCUGCCUCACAUGCACCCUCCCCUCCAUCCCCCAUCCUUUCCUAACUAUCCUUUAUCCUAAAACUGCUCAUUCUAAGCCUUCAGCCCACAUUAACCUCUUGCUUUCUCUUGUAUUUUCUCUUCUAUCCAGACACUGAUCCCCAGACCCUGGAAGGUUUUCUGACUUUGAAUAAAAUAACAACUUCUAGAUCUUGUCCUGGGCCAUGGUCUGUCUGCUCUGUGACCUCCAGAUGAUGGAGAACUCCCGACCCAUUUCCUCUUGGUGGGAUGAGGUUUGCAAACUUCCUAGGAAAUCACUACACAUCAGUUGGGGCUGGCUGUUCCUGUGGAAAACCCACUCAACAUUGCCAAAGCCUCCAUCCCCUUUCUCGCUCAUCCCAUAAAGAAUGGAAGUUUGUGGUCUCCCUUCUGCUCUACUGUUUGUACCUUAUGAUAAGGGGUCUGAUGUGUCUGUGUGUUUCUCUCUGAUUUCUGUCCUUCUUGUCUAUUUUAAAACUCUGGCUGUUAUUGUGUAUUCACCGCGAGGUAAGUACCAGAUUCCAGGGGAAAUCAAGAUUCUUCCCUGACUACCCAAGCAGAGUGAUGCUUCUUUUUGAUUCAGUCAUAGUGUUUUCUGUUUCGUGUAACACAACUCCUUAGUAAAGGGUAAGCACCAUGUUUCCUACCUAGUACAAGACUGAUCAGAGGGUAGGCACUAAUAGCACAAACACAAUUUUUAGUUGGAUGGAAUUGAACAAACUCAUUGCAUUGAAUGUUUCUGCAUUUAACAUCAUUUGGAGAACACCAGGAUGCAAAUCUGGUCCAUUUUCUCGCACAAAACUCUCCACCCAUUGGUAGCCUGAAAGCCACAGUUGACAAAUGUUAGGAAGCACCAGCAAAAACCAGUUUCCACCCCUCUUACCUUGACUUGUGUGACUGCCCACACUUCUAUCCAGAGCCAAAUGAAAGCUUCCAGUCAAUGAAAAAAUCUAGCAACCAAUAUUUAGGUAAGGUACUAAGAGCUAUUUUGCAUUUUGUUGCUCCCCCACCCUGCACCCCAAUUAGGGUUCCCUGCAUGGGCCCCGCAGGUAUCUGAGGCUACUGCCUUGAAGCCCCCACCCCACCCACUAAAGACACUGAGUACUGGAGGGUCCCCUCUCCUUGUUCUACCAUCAUAACACGCCCACACAGGGGCCUGCUUCUUCAGGGGU